rnacentral:rRNA from 1 species
CGGACGGGUGAGUAAUGUCUGGGGAUCUGCCUGAUGGCGGGGGAUAACUACUGGAAACGGUAGCUAAUACCGCAUAACGUCGCAAGACCAAAGAGGGGGACCUUCGGGCCUCGCGCCAUCAGAUGAACCCAUAUGGGAUUAGCUAGUAGGUAAGGUAACGGCUUACCUAGGCGACGAUCCCUAGCUGGUCUGAGAGGAUGAUCAGCCACACUGGGACUGAGACACGGCCCAG